CCUACGGGUGGCAGCAGUGAGGAAUAUUGGUCAAUGGACGGAAGUCUGAACCAGCCAUGCCGCGUGCAGGAAGACGGCUCUAUGAGUUGUAAACUGCUUUUGUACAAGGGUAAACCGGAAUACGUGUAUGCAGCUGAAAGUACUGUACGAAUAAGGAUCGGCUAACUCCGUGCCAGCAGCCGCGGUAAUACGGAGGAUCCAAGCGUUAUCCGGAUUUAUUGGGUUUAAAGGGUGCGUAGGCGGAUUGCUAAGUUAGAGGUGAAAUGUCCGAGCUUAACUCGGGAACUGCCUCUCAUACUGUUGAUCUAGAGCGUAGGUGCGGUAGGCGGAAUG
rnacentral:rRNA from 1 species